GAUGAAGAACGCAGCAAAAUGCGAUAAGUAAUGUGAAUUGCAGAAUUCAGUGAAUCAUCGAAUCUUUGAACGCACAUUGCGCCCGCUGGUAUUCCGGCGGGCAUGCCUGUUCGAGCGUCAUUUCAACCCUCAAACCCCCGGGUUUGGUGUUGGGGAUCGGCUCUGCCUCACGGCGGUGCCGCCCCCGAAAUACAUUGGCGGUCUCGCUGCAGCCUCCAUUGCGUAGUAGCUAACACCUCGCAACUGGAACGCGGCGCGGCCAUGCCGUAAAACCCCAACUUCUGAAUGUUGACCUCGGAUCAGGUAGGAAUACCCGCUGAACUUAAGCAUAUCAUAAGCGGAGGA
rnacentral:misc_RNA from 1 species